CUUUCCAGGGCUCCUCUCACUUGCCUGAACUAAAACUCCUUACUUUCCUGAGAUUUAGACUUGACUUCAUAAGAAUGUUCAUCCACUUUGAAAAGUAGCACAGGAUAUUAAACAUAGUAGCAACAAAUACUGACUUGGGGGAAAAACAGACUAACAGCUCAUCUUUUCUCCUUUCUUUUGGGUCCCUGUUGGAUUUGAUUAGCUGCAUCUUUCUUGCUAACGACAGGGACCAGCCUGGAAUGACUCCCCAGGACACCCUCCUUGUACAGAGGGAGGAUGGGGCAUGUGAGCCCUUCCAUCUGGAGCAGAUGACUUCAGAGACCCCAGGGCAGCUGGUCCGCAAGGCCAGGCAGUAGAGAAGGAGCCAGCAGGGGAGAGGUUCCUGCACAGCAUUAGAUGUGUCUGACUUCUAAGGAAAAUGAGACUCCAGACACAUUGAUGGGGCAUCAACAAGACUGUGGAUAGGAAAUGAGUGAGCUGCCAACUACUGAGCUGCUGCGCCAGAGACCACAAGACUCCACUUCUGUCUCCAUCAUUGUAGAGC